GUGAAGUUUUAUUCUUGCUUUUUCGUUCAAUGUUUGUUUGUUCUAUAUGUAAGUUUGUGCAUGAGUUGAAUUGUAGUUCUAGAUGGGCUAUAAAGUGUAUGGUUUGAUUCUCAUUAGUUGUUAUUGGUUGUUCAAGUAUUCUUGUAUCUAGCAAUGUAUUUUAGUUUCGGUUAAAUUUUGUGCCAGCAGCCGCGGUUAUACCUUGGAAGCAUUUGAAUGUGUUUGGCAUUAGGUAGUUAGAUUAUUGUGAUUUGUUGAUUAUAUUUUGUUUGUUGUUAGGUGAAAUUUUUAUUGUUUUGGUUUCAUUGUUUUUAUUUGGAGGCUAUGAAGCUCUUUUUGUAAACUAGGAUUAGAUACCCUAUUAUUUUAGAGUGUUAAUUGGUAUAUGCCUGAGUAGUAUUAGUUAUGUUCUUGAAACUUAAAGAAUUUGGCGGUAUCUCAUUCCGUCCAGAGGAAUCUGUCUCGUUAUCGAUAGUCCACGUUGGACCUUACUUAGUUGCUUUGGUUUGUAUACCGCCGUUUAUUGAUUAUCUUUUUAGGGUUUGUUUAAUUUUCUGGUUUCUUUAUUUUGAUUUAUUUCAGGUCAAGGUGCAGCUUGUUUCUAAGUGAAUGAUGGAUUACAUUGUUUAAUUUGUUUUAUGGAUUAUUGAUUUUAAUAUUGGUAUGAAAUUGGAUUUGGUUGUAAUGAUUUGUAGACUGUUAUUAUGAUAAGUGGUUCUGGGAUAUGCACACAUCGCCCGUCGCUCUCGUUUUGUUGUUAAUGAGAUAAGUCGUAACAAAGUGGCUGUACCGGAAGGUGCAGCUGGAUUGGG
rnacentral:ncRNA from 1 species